GCAGCGUCUGUGCGAGGAAGCCGGUACUCCUCCGGCUGGAGGGCCACCGCGAAAUCCGGCAGCGCCGGCACUGUGUCGUGUGUCCUGUCGACAUUGCUGUAGAGGUCCUUGUUGAUGCGGACUUUGCAGUUGGAGUCCUUGUGGAUCUUGUCGUGGAGAUUGCCUUGAAAAGGGGGAUGCGGUGUGGAAGGCCUCGCAGACGGCCCUGCUCUCCCUCAGGGACUCCUCCGCGGACUGCAGCGCCGCCACGGCCGCCCGAGUUCAGAGAUAUGAGCAAAAGCCUGCAUAUGUACUUUUGCUUCCAUGUGCUUCCACUUGACAAAGAGCCUGUGCUUUUCGCCCCAGCCGUCGAGCAGAGGUAGCUUUCAGGACCCCUUCAGACAGGUCCACGGGAAGACCUUUCCUACACGAAAUGGCAGUCAGUACUCAAUCCUUACUGAACAAUAACUGAAGAAAAAUGGAAGCUUGGAGCAUUGCUCAUCCUGCCGGGCUGGCUAGGGCAAGCGGCAAGAUCACCACCUCUUUUCGGGCGACAUCCUGGGAAGAACAUUCUGCAUGGCGCACUCCAGGUGCCCGGCUGCCUUGAGGAAUAUCUCGACAGAAGCCCGUUUGUUCUCUGGGAAGUGGAAAGUACAAGGGUACAGACAUUCAGAAAGAUUGAAACAUAUACUACUUGUUUGAUUCAGUCGCAGUGGGAAUUAACCUUCCGAUACUUUGGCAUGGUAUCCUUCAAGAGACGUCUUUGGCAGUAGCAGGGAGUUUGCUUGUGAUAAACGGAGCAUGGCCAUCAUGUGCAGAACCGACAGCACCUCGUACCAGGCGCUGGGCAGUGCCGUCUCCUGCACACAUGGAGACAGGUUAAUAAUCUUCAGGUUUCAUCCUUGCAGAAGACAAAGAUUGGCUAUAUCUGUGCAGUGCAGACCUCUGCAUCGUCUUCUUGGUUCAUCCACGCAAACUGUAUCUUGUCCUCCAGCUCGCUGCCUGCCAAGAGUCGAGUAACAAUGAUGGGAAUGCAAAAAUAAGUCUGAAUCUUCAGAGACAGAUGGAUCAAGCACAAGGUGUACAGGUUAAAAUGUUUGAGUUACCAUCCUUCGCCAUCCCUAGAAUGACUGGCAGGUACUCCUCCAAGGCCUGCACAAGAUCAGCGGACGUGGACGCCCCUGCAAGCACAACAUUCAGACCGUCAAAUGCAAAAGAAAAUUCAGACUCUUAAGUGCAAGGGUCAGACUGCCGGUUCCCAAGUUCAGAGUGUUACAUGCUACAGAUUCAGACUGUCAGUGACCAAAUUCAGACAAAGGCUAGCACUAUCAACAUCUGUGUAACAAAUGAAUCAUGGACGAAGACGAACCAUGCU